rnacentral:rRNA from 1 species
CGGCAAAAGCUCAAAUUUGAAAUCUGGCUCUUUCAGAGUCCGCGCUGUAAUUUGCAGAGGGCGCUUUGGCGUUAGCAGCGGUCCAAGUUCCUUGGAACAGGUCGUCACAGAGGGUGAGAAUCCCGUACGUGGUCGCUAGUUUUCGCCGUGUAAAGCCCCUUCGAC